rnacentral:rRNA from 1 species
AACGAACGCUGGCGGCAGGCUUAACACAUGCAAGUCGAACGAGAUCUUCGGAUCUAGUGGCAGACGGGUAAGGAACACGUGGGAACAUCCCUUUCAGUUCGGAAUAACGUUGGGAAACUAACGCUAAUACCGGAUACGUCCUUCGGGAGAAAGAUUUAUCGCUGAAAGAUUGGCCCGCGUCUGAUUAGCUAGUUGGUGAGGUAACGGCUCACCAAGGCUACGAUCAGUAGCUGAUCUGAGAGGAUGAUCAGCCACAUUGGGACUGAGACACGGCCCAAACUCAUGCGGGAGGCAGCAGUGGGGAAUAUUGGACAGUGGGCGCAAGCCUGAUCCAGCCAUGCCGCGUGAGUGAUGACGGCCUUCGGGUUGUAAAGCUCUUUUGUCCGGGAAGAUAAUGACUGUACCGGAAGAAUAAGCCCCGGCAAACUUCGUGCCAGCCGCCGCCGUAA